UGGGGAAUUUUGGACAAUGGGCGAAAGCCUGAUCCAGCAAUGCCGCGUGUGUGAAGAAGGCCUUCGGGUUGUAAAGCACUUUUGUCCGGAAAGAAAUCCUUGGCUCUAAUACAGUCGGGGGAUGACGGUACCGGAAGAAUAAGCACCGGCUAACUACGUGCCAGCAGCCGCGGUAAUACGUAGGGUGCAAGCGUUAAUCGGAAUUACUGGGCGUAAAGCGUGCGCAGGCGGUUUGCUAAGACCGAUGUGAAAUCCCCGGGCUCAACCUGGGAACUGCAUUGGUGACUGGCAGGCUAGAGUAUGGCAGAGGGGGGUAGAAUUCCACGUGUAGCAGUGAAAUGCGUAGAGAUGUGGAGGAAUACCGAUGGCGAAGGCAGCCCCCUGGGCCAAUACUGACGCUCAUGCACGAAAGCGUGGGGGAGCAAAACAGGAUUAGAUACCCUGGUAGUCCACGCCCUAAACGAUGUCAACUAGUUGUUGGGGAUUCAUUUCCUUAGUAACGUAGCUAACGCGUGAAGUUGACCGCCUGGGGAGUACGGUCGCAAGAUUAAAACUCAAAGGAAUUGACGGGGUCAUAGCUGUUUCC
rnacentral:rRNA from 1 species